ensembl:miRNA Gm27551 predicted gene, 27551
CCUGCCUCAGCUUCCUGAGUUGCUGGGAUUACAGACCUGAGCCACUAGGCUCAGCCUAAAUCCACUUUUGUGUCCAG